rnacentral:rRNA from 1 species
GGGUUGUGAGGUUAAGCGACUAAGCGUACACGGUGGAUGCCCUGGCAGUCAGAGGCGAUGAAGGACGUGCUAAUCUGCGAUAAGCGCCGGUAAGGUGAUAUGAACCGUUAUAACCGGCGAUUUCCGAAUGGGGAAACCCAGUGUGACUCGUCACACUAUCAUUAACUGAAUCCAUAGGUUAAUGAGGCGAACCGGGGGAACUGAAACAUCUAAGUACCCCGAGGAAAAGAAAUCAACCGAGAUUCCCCCAGUAGCGGCGAGCGAACGGGGAGGAGCCCAGAGCCUGAAUCAGCAUGUGUGUUAGUGGAAGCGUCUGGAAAGGCGCGCGAUACAGGGUGACAGCCCCGUACACAAAAGCGCAUGUGCUGUGAGCUCGAUGAGUAGGGCGGGACACGUGGUAUCCUGUCUGAAUAUGGGGGGACCAUCCUCCAAGGCUAAAUACUCCUGACUGACCGAUAGUGAACCAGUACCGUGAGGGAAAGGCGAAAAGAACCCCGGCGAGGGGAGUGAAAAAGAACCUGAAACCGUGUACGUACAAGCAGUGGGAGCACAGGUUUACCUGUGU